rnacentral:tRNA from 1 species
GGGCGAUUAACUCAGCGGUUAGAGUGCGUCCCUUACACGGACGAGGUCGGGGGUUCGAAUCCCUCAUCGCCCACCA